rnacentral:rRNA from 1 species
GUAGGGAGCAAGCGUUGUCCGGAAUUACUGGGUGUAAAGGGAGCGUAGGCGGGAGGAUAAGUUGAAUGUGAAAUCCAUGGGCUCAACCCAUGGCUGCGUUCAAAACUGUUCUUCUUGAGUGAAGUAGAGGCAGGCGGAAUUCCUAGUGUAGCGGUGAAAUGCGUAGAUAUUAGGAGGAACACCAGUGGCGAAGGCGGCCUGCUGGGCUUUUACUGACGCUGAGGCUCGAAAGCGUGGGUAGCAAAC